CGGUUCGUAUUUUAUUUUCCUCUUAGCGCUUCUCUAAAAGCAGCGACUAGGCAAGAGAAGGACUUGUGCUCUCUCUCUUCCUCAUAUAUAUAUUUUUCAAAAAUCUUCACGAAAAAAUUAAAUCUUUGCAGCCAUGAAAACCCAGCUCUCUUAAUACAGGUUGGCUCUCGGCACUUGGGUUUUGACGGGUUUUUGGUUUUAUCAAUGGAGAUGGAUGCUGUUCAAGUGAAUCACGAUUGGAAUUGCAUUGGAGAUGAUUCUACUGAGCAAUCACUUUAUGCACAGGCUCUUGGUAUAAGUGAUGCCUAUAGAGAUCCUGAGCUGCUUCCUCAGAUUGGAGAUCAGCACCAGGUUGAAAUUCCACCUCUUAUGAUAGAAUCUGCCUAUCUCUUGCUCACAGAGAAGGAAAAUGAUUCAAUAAUUGGUACUUCCCAUGAUUUUUUAGUGGGAUUGCCCAUAUCAUUAAUGUGGAUCAAGGAGGAAGUGGAGAACCCUAAACAGGAACCACAAGAAUUUCCUGGUGAUUUGAUUGGCUUGCCCAAUAGAAAAGAAACUAUAAAAUUUGAAAGCAUUAGAGAGACACAGAUUUUUCCAGGAGGUGAUUUACAAGUUAAGACUGAGCCUAGGAAAAAAUCUUAUUCAAGUAAAGAAAUUUGUUGGGAGCAAAAAUAUGGGAGAUAUACUUUCAUUUUAUUAUGGUAAGUUUUAUAGGUCUGACAGAUACAAUAGAUGGUCAGACUGCCGAAAAAUAAGAAGCCGAAGAUGUAUAUAUGGACAAAGGAUUUUUACAGGAUCCACUCAACAGGAACUGCUAUCUCGUUUGUAUUUGCUUGUGUCAGAGGAAUGCAAAAAUACUUUGAUGGAGGUUGCCAAGACAUUUGGAGAGGGGAAAAUGUUGCUAGAUGAGUAUGUAUUCACUUUAAAGGCUACAGUAGGAUUGAAUGCCCUAGUUGCAGCUGUGGGAAUUGGCAAAGGGAAACAAGAUCUUACCGGCAUGGUUAUGGAGCCUUUAAGGUCAAAUCAAGUUGCUACUGUUCGUCCUGAAAUACCAGUUGGCAAAGCUUGCUCCAGCCUUGCACCCUUGGAAAUUGUCAACUUCCUAACUGGAGGUUAUCGUUUGAGCAAAGCACGAUCAAAUGACCUUUUCUGGGAAGCUGUUUGGCCUCGUUUACUUGCAAGAGGGUGGCACUCUGAGCAGCCUAAUGAUCAUAGUUUUGCUGCUGCUUCUAGAAAUUCUCUGGUCUUUCUCAUCCCUGGUAUCAAGAAGUUUUCAAGAAGGAAAUUGGUGAAAGGGAACCACUAUUUUGAUUCUGUGAGUGAUGUCCUGAAUAAAGUUGCUUCAGAUCCAGCUCUUCUUGAGCUUGAACUCGGAGCAGAUAAAGGAUGCGGUAAAAAGGACGAAAACGGUUGGACCAAUGAGAAAGUUUUGGACCAAGGAGAUUUUCCUGAUCAACAACGUCAUUGCUAUCUCAAGCCACGAACUCCAAGCCGCAGCAUAGAGGUCAUGAAGUUUACUGUUGUUGAUACAAGUCUGGUUAAUGGGGAAACGACCAAAGUGAGAGAACUAAGAAGCUUACCGGUGGAAAUGAUGAACAUUUCCAUCUCCAGAAGUGAUUCUGAAGAAAGUGAUGAAGAAUCUUCUGAGGAUACAACAAAUGGAUCUGAUUCCUCUGAUAAUGUGAGUUUUGAUCAGAAUAAGACUGAUAUCUCAAAAUCCAUAAAGAUCAAUGAUGAUAAAGGAAAUUCUUCUGACAGGGAAAAUUUUGGAAAUAAUGCUUUAAAGCAGAGUUGUCCUAUAAUUGGUUCAGGUUUCACUGAGGUUCAGGUCAAAAUCCCAAAGGAACAGAAUGCUAGCAAGUAUGAUGACAUGCAACCAAGAAAGCCUAUCAAGGGUCAUGCAGUCAAGAGAACAAAACCUGCGGAUAAUAAGAAUCUUUUAGCUCCUGUUGCAAAACGAAGACGAAGAUUAACUGCCUGUGACCGCGCAGCAAGAAAAUGCAGUACAGUUGCUGCCUCAGUUGAUUCCCGGUUAAAUCAAGAUUCAGUUGGUUGCACUUCAAGUAAUUCUGAUUUCCAAGAAAAUAUUCUCUCUCAUCUGGGUCCACAUCAGACGAAGUUUUCAUCCACCAGUUCUUCAUCCAGGGGCAGCCCUAGUAUUACAGAUGAGUGCACUCUUAGCAGUAACUCAUCUGUUGCUGAAUAUCCAAAUGAGAAAUCUCAGCCCCGUACAUUGAUUGAUCUGAACAUACCUAUUCCUCAAGAUGUUGAGACUGAAACUUUCAUGACAGAAACAACAGAAAGAAAGCAUGGUCAAGCGAGUGGACAACCAGAUGAUUCUGGUAUGCUGAAAAACUCCACAUCAGCGUGUGAUUCCACCACUGAGCAGCCUUCUAGCAUGAAUUCCCGAAGACAAAGCACCAGAAACAGACCACUGACCACUAAAGCACUAGAAGCUCUUGCCUGUGGAUUUUUAAGCAUAAAGCAGAAGCGUAGUAGGAGGGAUGAUUUCCCACUAGAAUCAAGGCCUUCAAGGCGUGCUCGUAGUAGAAUGAGAAUCUGUGAAAACUUUGGUACAGACGUGGUGGAUUUCAGAGGAGAAGACAGAGAAAAUGGUGUAUGUAAGAGUAACAGUGAAAUGUUCAGCGAUCUUCCGGUUUCAUUUGCCGGGGGAGGGGAUUCCAGAUGCUGAUUUGUCAACUUUGUAACAUAGAAAUGGGAAUUUUAGUGUCUUUUUUAUCUGCUAUAGCUGCUGAAAUAUCCAUAACAUGAAUAGUACAGCAAUCUUUUUUCAGCUUCCAACUUCUGCAGCAUAAAUUUACAUGCUAACUUUCCUGAAGGUUACAGUGGCAUUGGAUUAAUCAUCAACAUGGGGAGAAAUAAUGGCUUGCCAGUUAAAUUGUUUUUAUUUAUUUAUUUAUUUAUUUCAGUUCUUAAACAACAUUGGACAGAAUAAAUAAUUCAUUUGUUUCUGUCUCAUAGUUAGAUUCUUGAGUAACUGGUAUUUGACUGUAAAGGUUGCGUUAACUGCCUAAUAUAGCCAGACAUUGUUGAUA